GCAUAUGUAGUUCCUGGGCUAAGGAUUAGAUCUGAGCCACAGUUGUGACCUACCCCGCAGCUAUGGCAAAGCUGGAUAUUUAACCCACUGUGCUGGGCUGGGAAUCAAACCUGCAUCCCAGCACGGCAGAGAUGCCUCCAAGCCCAUGGAGCCACAGGGGGAACUCCUAAAAAUAUUUUUUUAAUGACUUGCUUUUAAAACAUUCACUUCAAUAUACUAUCAAAGGAAAUUUGGCCUGGUUACCACGAAUAGAAAAUCAAUAAUGCUUGUGGUAAAUGGAAGCUAAUUGUAAAGACAAAUAGAAGAGUCUAAGGUAUUAAGUUCUACCUAGAACCUGGUGGGCCAAGCCUGAAACCUACAUUCUCUUUGUUCAAAAUGGAAGUUAGCAUGUGUUAGAGGCGAGAUAGAAAAAUGGAAGCUUUCUUCUGGACAAUCAGGAGGCUCAAAAGAGAAUCAGAAUGAGAGUACAUUUCUCACUCUCUGAUGCAAAUUUCCUUAAUGCCUAGAUGCUGGAUAGCACCUGAAACAUUCUCUCCUGCCACUAGAGGUGUGUGUCUGAAAAACACAGCCCUAGAGAAAGAGGCUCCAUGAGAGGGUGGUUGCAUUGCUGAAGAUGCAGUAAGAAAGAAUGGAGAGAAACCCAAAUCGGUCAACACAAACUCACCUUGAACUUUCUACACACCUGAAGCAAUGUCUCAGGCACUAACUUAUCAAAGCUGUGAGUGCAAGGGCCUAGAAACUGACUCCAUGCCUUUCCUGGGGUAACCAGAGAAGCUGAAAAUCCCUCGAGUUCUCUAGAAAUAGUCACUUCUGGCGUCCUCACCACUCCCUAAUUGACUAUGCUAAAUAUUAUUCCUCAUGCCCCCAAAGUGAGCUUUCAUCUGAUCACAACUUGGUAAAUAUUAUGAAAGUCGUGGGUUUUAUUACCACAAAUAUACAGAUGCUAACUUUUUCAUUUAUGCAAGAAGUAGCCAGAAAAUCUCAGUGGAGAGAGCUUAAAAGCAAUUACAUCCUUAUUAUUUAGAGGUUUGGCCAGAUGUCAAGGGAGUUUAUAGCCAAACCACUACUUUGGUGGUGUUUUGUCCCCCAAAGUAAUCCAAAAAUUAAUGUACCAGAAGGAAAUAAUGUGUUUGUAUAGUAUAUUACGAGAGCAGAGUUUUGCUCUUAGAGGGAAUACUAUGGAAAUUACUUUACCAAUAUGGAGGAAGAGUAUUUUUUUGACUUGGGAUGGUAAGUUUUUCUUUGGUCAGUGAUGUUUUUGAAAUGGCCCCUGACAUACACACACACACACACACGUGUGAUGCCCCACUAGCAGAGUCCCACGAGGCUACGUGAAGCCCUUUGGUGACUCCUGGAACUCUGCAUAGCUGAGGUUGGGACCGAUAGGAGACAGGACACAACAAGCUCUUCGAAAACCAUCGCACGAUAUGAUCAUCAAUGGGUAAUAUGAGCUGGGGGUUAGUUAAAUAAAAUGUGAACGCCGUAUUAAUGACCCCUGUGGCUGCCUAACAUAGCAUUUCAUCUUCCUUUCCAAGGAGGCAGAGAGGAGGGCCGGCAAAUAAAUUGUAGAUGAAACCCCCAUCAUAUGUUUAUAAAUACACUAACAUUAGCAUUUUACUUGCUCAUAAAUCUGCAGCAAACACUCAGGCACAAGAUAGAGAGCCCUGUAAAACAAUGAUAUAUUCUCUGCUCGCAGGCAUCGACCAGUGGGCCAUUCACCGCCGAUGCCGUUCUUCAAACACGUUCCCUCCGCUCCUGCCCCCUCAUUUAAAAUCCAUUUUAAUUUAAAGAUGCGCAAGGCAGUGCUCGUGGUACAUUUAGUCAUCCUAGUUAUACAUCAUGGAGCAAGGAAAAGAAAAUUGUUUCAUCUAGAGAUACGGUUCAAUGUGGUCACCACUGAACAGUGGAGUAAUUACCAUAUCAGGCCCACUCAAAAUGCACUCAGGGUGUUCUGUGACCUAUCAUUUGCUAAUCUGCAUAGUGAAGUAUAGCUUCAUAACUAUAAAUUGCUGACUUAAUUAAAACCAGGACCUUUCUGUCAUUUAAUUACAGGGAGAAAGGUUAUUGCUUAAAUGCAAUUUUCCAAAUGUGAUUUCUUAACAGUUAUUAACUGCUUCACCAUCAUUUAUUGUUUCAGAUUUUUCAAUUUGAAAAUACUCCCCGUGACAGAAGUAAUGACUUCAUGAAAAACUCAAUCUAGAGGGAGGCCAGCCAGCCCAUUUGUUUCUCAUAAGUGGAGCCGACAGGAUGCUGGAAAAUGUCACCGGAGGAUCCUGGGAUGGCUCUCACUUUCGGGGAGUAAUUAGAACCCAGAGGGUCGUCUCCGAAGCAGGGAGAGGUUGUGGAUAUUUUAAAGGUGGUCCCUCCCCUCCAUCCUAGCUGGCCCGUGGCUUUGCCUCAUAAACCAUGGUGGUGGCACAGGGUGGGGCCGGACGGUGCUGAGGUCAGCUUGGAGCAGCGUGAGCAGAUCAAGGGGACCAAAGAUCUGCACUUGGGCUCAGUCAGCUACCAGGCACUGAUCUGAAUGUGUACAUGCUCUUUGUAAGGUCCCUACAGCUAGGACUGCUUCUGCCGCAGAAUGAGAACCCGAAGUUUGGAUAUGGUAGGUAGCCCCGAGAUGAAGAGAGCAGUCCUUAUCUUCCUUCACCCUACGUCUGUCUUUAGUGGUUGUAUCUUCUCUUUUGCUCCAUGUCUUAUUAUGUAGCCUGGGGUUACUCCGAUAAAGAGGAGAGACGGGCGAAGCCGGCCAACCCAGGUAAGCUGGGCAACUGAGCAUCCCCAAAGCACUUCUUCGGUAGCAGGGGAUGUAGGCAUUGUCUUAAUGCCCAAGUGCCCUAAAUGGAGAUUUGUGAAGCUGUUAAACUCAACCCUGCACUUCCUCUUGUAGUUCAUCCCCAGCAGAAGCGCCAGGAAUUUAGCUGAGACGGCAAAUCUGGUUUUUCCCUUGACUCUGACAGCUCCUUGCUGGAAAGUUUACAAAACAAAUGUACUUCCUGCCGGAAGGGGCCCAAAUGUCUUGCUCAUUGGCGGAGAGCUCCCUUAAAUUUUACUUUCACUUUAGAAAAGGGUUAAAGUUAAAAUUUCUCAGACAAAGAUGUAGAAUUUUGUCCCAUUUCUAUAUAGUUUAGCCAUUACUUUUGGCUUUAUUCAUGGUGGCAGAUACCCCAAGCUGACUGAUGGGGAUUUCAUAAAAGCUUAAUCAGAUUAUUAAUAAUCCCUUAUGUUCUCCAUCAGCGUCGAGCUUUGCAGUGUUCAAAGUAUUUUCAUACGCUUUAACAAUUUCAGCUCUGUUGCAUACCAUCAACGGCCAGCAUCUCCCAACAUAUUUUUAGUAACACCUAUAUUUAAAAGGCAUGGCUCCUGCCUACAUUCAAUCAGGAAAGUUAUUUGAUCCUUAAUCUAAUUCAAUAACGUAGCAGGUAGCAAGAAAGGUACUUUAAACAAGGCUACACCACACCACAUACUGGUUUUUUGUUUUUGUUUUGUUUUGUUUUGUUUUGUUUUUAGAAGAAACAGAAAACACAUUCAGGUGGAAACGUAUCCAUGAGGAUGCAGAUUUGAUCCCUGGCCUUGCUCAGUGGGUUAAGGAUCUGGCGUUGCCAGUGGCUACAGCUCCAACUGGACCUCUUGCCUGGGAACCUCCAUGUGCCUUAGUGCAGCACUCAAAAGCCAAAAAAGAAAAAAAAAAGAAAAGAAAAGAAAAAAGAAAAAACCGCACUCAAACUUGAUCAACGUGAGUAAAAGUGGUGAAGCUCAGCAUAGACAUUUAGGAACCUCAAGGAAUCCAAGACAGAAAUCAAAAUAUAAGACAGCUUCAAGUAAAUUAGAAGGGAACGCUGAGACACAAGGCUGCUUUGCCUCUGGAAGCCACAGGGUCUCUGUUUUUCUCUCUCUUUCUCUAUGGAUUUCUGCCCAUACUUUUCUCUCUCAACCAGUUCUCCUCAUUCCUUAUUUCAUACGUGGUCAGUAUGGCAGCCAUCAUGACUCUUCAGCUCUGCUGCACACUAUCAACUGCCAACAACUGCCUCUCUUAGUCCAAAUUUCUGGAAGAGGUAGUCUGCUUGUCUGAAUAUUUCUCCCAUGAAACAAACUAUGAAUCACUGGCUAGCUAGGCCUCUGGAUAGGAAAAGCAAUGGUACAUAUACAUAGAAUAGUAGAUCAAAAAUUAUGAUCUUUCUUUUAUUUGAGAGCUAAGGAAGUUGACCUCAGAGAGGUUGAAUAAUAUU
ensembl:lncRNA